rnacentral:rRNA from 1 species
AUACGGAGGAUGCAAGCGUUAUCCGGAUUUAUUGGGUUUAAAGGGUGCGUAGGCGGUUUGCUAAGCGGGAGGUGAAAUGCCGGCGCUCAACGUCGGAAGUGCCUCCCGAACUGGUGGACUGGAAUGACUCUGCCGUGGGAGGAAUGUGUAGUGUAGCGGUGAAAUGCUUAGAGAUUACACAGAACACCGAUUGCGAAGGCAUCUCACGAAGGGUUGAUUGACGCUGAGGCACGAAAGCGUGGGGAUCAAACAGGAUUAGAUACCCUGGUAGUCCACGCAGUAAACGAUGAUGGCUAACCGCUGGUUUAUUCGGAUCAGUGGCCAAGCGAAAGCGAUAAGCCAUCCACCUGGGGAGUACGCACGCAAGUGUGAAACUCAAAUGAAUUGACGGGG